rnacentral:rRNA from 1 species
AUUGAACGCUGGCGGCAGGCCUAACACAUGCAAGUCGAGCGGAUGAGAAGAGCUUGCUCUUCGAUUCAGCGGCGGACGGGUGAGUAAUGCCUAGGAAUCUGCCUGGUAGUGGGGGACAACGUUUCGAAAGGAACGCUAAUACCGCAUACGUCCUACGGGAGAAAGCAGGGGACCUUCGGGCCUUGCGCUAUCAGAUGAGCCUAGGUCGGAUUAGCUAGUUGGUGAGGUAAUGGCUCACCAAGGCGACGAUCCGUAACUGGUCUGAGAGGAUGAUCAGUCACACUGGAACUGAGACACGGUCCAGACUCCUACGGGAGGCAGCAGUGGGGAAUAUUGGACAAUGGGCGAAAGCCUGAUCCAGCCAUGCCGCGUGUGUGAAGAAGGUCUCCGGAUUGUAAAGCACUUUAAGUUGGGAGGAAGGGCAGUAAGUUAAUACCUUGCUGCUUUGACGUUACCGACAGAAUAAGCACCGGCUAACUCUGUGCCAGCCGCCGCGGUAAUAC